GAAAUGAUAAGCACCGCUUGGCAAACGGUGUAUCACGCACAGGUCCGAGAGAUUGAUUUCGCCAAAUAAGACACCCAGCCAACUUCACUUGAUUGUGUGGUUUCAUCCUCCCUCCCUGGUACCUACAGGCAUGAAUGAAACUCCCCCUCUGUCCCGGAUCAGGAUCGAGCGUUGCAAUCUAUCAUGACAUUGGAGUUCAUUGCUCAAGAAGCCGAGGCAUCAUGGGUUUACAUUCUGUUUUGUUUGUUUUUUAAUAGAUCUGAAGGUUCUCGGUGGUGUGUCAUGUGUUGCUGUCCUCUUCUUCCAAGGGUGACAUGUCCCCCUCCCUUGAAAUCAGGUGCACGUAGGUGGCUCGUUUGGGCUGAGGAAGCGUGAACAGAAGUGUUGCUUCAAGGGGCAGAUGGGAAAAGGCAGAGCCCGGUGGUCCAGUGCUGUUCUCUGACAAGGUGAUUGUGGACGGACACGAUGACAUGGGUCCUCCAUGAUCCAGGGUCCCUGGGUGACUGAGAUGAACAGAACCCCCUGCCAACCUGUUCUGGGCUCAUCGUCCGAGCAAGAACGAGGCUUUUGCCGUGCUGAGUCUCUGAGCCGUGGGGCUGUUCCUUGCCGCAGCAGAACCUCGUCCAUCCUAACUGAAACAGGGGGUUGCCUUUCACGUCUGUACAGCGUGUCCAGGUCUCCCAUGUUCACGGCCACAUUAGUGAUGUUCAUUUAAACAGUGCUUUCCCAAAACUGUACCCAGGCUUCGAUCUGUCUAUUCCUGGCACACGGAAGUGCCAGAAGUGACGACGGUGGGAAGAUAGGGAGGUGAGGAGGCAGCCCAAAGAGGGAAGCGGAUGGCCAUUUCGGCAGGUGGACAGAAUAGAAUGCUUAGGCGCUUUCCUCCCCAGGCGCCGUGUUGUAAGAAACACCUCGGCAUCGGUUGUUCUCAAGGUCAGAGCGUAGCCUGUGCAAGAAUCACCUGGGUGGUGCUUUCUUGUACGUGAAUAUGAUCACCCUCAACCAUCAGGGGUUCUAAUGCCGUGAACAGAGGUGGGGUUUGGAAAUUCCGAUUAGGACCCGGUCCCCCAGAUUCAUCAGUAGAUCUUACUUCCGUGUUCUUGCUUCUAGAACCCCCUCCCCCCAUCUCUGGCUACUGAAUCCAAUGAUAGGUUUUUUUGGCUGUGUUACGUUGGGCAGGUUUUUCACAGUCUCUGAGCCUCAGUUUCCGCCUCUGUCAAGUGGAGAUGACCCCGAGCUGUGUGUGGCACAGAGUCAGCGGGAAAUCAACGUUCGUUCUCAUUUAUGGAAACUGAACAGAGCCCCAAGUGGUCUUUCAGCUUUUUCCGUUGUGAACAGUAAUGAUAAAUGGUGAUAUUAACCAAAGACCCGCUGUGGGCCAGGCACUGUGCUGUCACUUCGCAUGCGUGGUGUCAUCGAAGCCUCUGAGGAGUUGCUGUUGUCAUCUGCGUUUUGCAGAUGAUGAGUCUGGAGCUCAGAGACGUUACCUGGAGACACACAGUUAUUAGCGGGUGGUGGAUCGAGGCGUUUUCUUUUGUACCUUCUCCUGAAGCCACUACUGGAGCUCCCACAAUUCUAUUGCCAGUGAUCAGAGAGUGACAAACCCCCCCCCCCCCCCCCNCGGUGCCUUGUGGGAAACAUAAGCAGCCAGAUCACAUCCCCAGCACUGUCAUUUAGCGUGGCUGUCCAGGGGCAAACACCUUGUGGAAUUUCUUUUUUUUUUUUUUAAUUGUUUUAUGCUCCCUUUAAUGUUCAUUUAAGUUCCCCUCCAUAAAAGGCAGUCCCUUUAGCUCUCAUAAAAUUUUAUGGUUUUACUUGUGAUGAGGGAAUGGCAGAAUUGAUUCCCUAAAACCAACUUCUAGUCAAGUUAUGAAAUUAGCCAAUAAGGGAGGCCGAGCCUGUGAAAUGCACAAGGCCAUCCCUGAAGAGGUCAGACAUGGUAUCAUUGGUUUGCUGCCGUAUCUUUAAAACACCCUCAGCUCGGAAAACACUAUCCAUUAGCCGGAGAUCAGAGCAGUGAGAAACCUCAAGAGGUCAAAGGGUCCGUUCCGAGGGCCCCACAAAGAACUCAGCCUCCCAGAAGGACGGUCCACCUGCCAGCCCCGGGGCCGUCUGAGAGCAUCGUGGGUCUGAAAGUUGCUUUGGAGGUGGGAAGUAAAAGCCAGGGCUGAAAUCCAACAGCUUAUGUUACAUCGUGCCAGAUAGGUUUUGAUUUCCAUCAUGUCAACGCCGUAGCCAAGGCAGUGUAAGGGGGUCUGAGACCCUGAACUUGAAGGAGGGGAGCUGGCUUGUGGCUGUGCUUAGGACUCCAGGCAGUCAGAGGCCCUGAGCACAUCACCACCAAGCCAUUGCCCUCAUCCUGGCACACAGCUCGACUUUGUUUCCUGGCCUUGCUGGUGUCAGCUGUGUCCCGGCCAGUGGAGUAAUGAUACAAGCGACAUUGGCUCUUCUAGGUCUGACCCUUUAACACCUGCCAUGCCCAGCCCUCCAUGGUCCUCCCCUGCCAGUGUGGAAGCCACACGGCAGGGAUGGUAGAACCACGAGAUAAAAGGGCCAGGGUCUCUGAGUCACUGCAGGAAGCGAAGCCACCCGAGUGAUCAGCCACGCUCGUUCUGGACGUGAGAUGAGCCAGACCUCUUGUAUCACAUCACAGCAGCCGCCGUGACCCUAACUGAUGCCACGUGUUCGUGCUGUUACUUUUGACAAGGAAUUAUGGCCAAAAGGUCACUGAUAGCGCUGGCUGGUCUGAGAAGCUUGUGAGAUUGAGGUUUGCCAACGCCUUUGGAAACGGGGUCCUUCACUUGGCUUAUACAACUUGAGAGGGUUCCCGUUACAGGCAGUUCUGGUUAUUGAGUCCAGAAUUUGGUCACCUGAUCUUUAUCUUGGCCGGCUGCAUUCGCCAAGACCUCAUUGUUGCAUAUCUGAAAUCCAAAGGAUCCUUUGUGUAGGAACCUGGGAGAUUUUUCCAUCUAAAUAGCUUAAUUGUUACUCUGCAGGGCAAUCACAAAUGUAGAUUGACUUAAUAUGGCUUGAUUGCUAGUGAUGACUUUGUCUCUCUAAUGAUGCCAGCCUGCAAAUCCCACUGAGAAGGACAUGGGCAAACGCUCCCCUGCAGAGUCCUAGGCAUCUCAGAUUUUUUUUUUUUUUUUUUGGUCUUUUUGCCAUUUCUUGGGCCGCUCCCAUGGCAUAUGGAGGUUCCCAGGCUAGGGGUCCAAUCAGAGCUGUAGCCCCCAGCCUAAGCCAGAGCCACAGCAACGCGGGAUCUGAGCCACGUCUGUGACCCACAUCACAGCUCACAGCAACGCCAGACCCUUAACCCACUGAGCAAGGGCAGGGACCGAACCCGCAACCUCAUGGUUCCUAGUCGGGUUCGUUAUUAACCACUGUGCCACGACGGGAACUCCCCAUCUCAGAUUUUUUAAAAAUGAAAAAUGUCCCUGUGACGUAGCUGUGACAUAGCUGUGACUUCCUCUUAGUGAAAUAACAGGCCAGAUAGCAGUCAUGGACUCUGAAGACAGAGCAUUCACCCGCCACUGGCGAAAGGUGCCUGUGUCUUUCCCUGACCUAAACAGUUGUGAAGACAUUUCUUCACGAGCUCACAUGCCCUCAUCUGCCUCCAUCAAACAUUUGCUUAUGGGAAUCGUUUUGGAAGAGAGGUUGAUACAGUGCACACAAGUGUAUAUAGCUCCCAAAUCGUCUGCUUCCGACUUUUCAUCUCUGUCACCCCAGCUUUAUAACAAGAUGAACACUCCAGGAAGAAGAAUGGGAGAAGUCCGCAUUUUAAUUUGCAGUUUCUUCAUACACACAACGUACCCUAAGCUCAAUCAAUGCCCAGAAAUAAAGGCCAAUAGAUAAUGAUGUGGUGGGGGGGCGGCACCUGGGGGAGCCCUCGGGUUUCCCACCUAUUGUUUCAGACACUAAUUAGAAAGAGGGAAUCCGAGGGCAUUGUCUUCCCGAAGCCUGCAGACUCGAUGUUAUCAUUGUGUUUACAGGGGUGGUCAGGUUCCCAGCCCUGGGCCUCCCCGCCCGCAGAUAACUGUCCCAUCUUGAUAAAACAGUACCCUCAGCCCACUCCUAAACACACUGCAGAAGGACCCUCUGCUGACGGCAGGGAGGAAGCCACACGUUAGCAAACAAGUUUGCAGGCCAGGAAGUUUUAAUCAGUUCUUUCGACUCCAGAAGGGAUGAUGGAUGGAGCCCCUGUUUCAGAGGGGUUUCCUUUAGAGAAAACAAUGAUGCCAUGCUCUCCAGAACCUCGCUCGACAGCAGAAAGCUGUGAUUAAUCCCCCACAAGUCAAACAGGGGAAGACUGGCAAGAUGAGAUUAUUUGCUGAGUAUAAUUAGCCACAAUUAUCACCGAAAAGAAUUUGGAGAAGCUGUGUGGGAGUGUCCCCUUAAAGAAGAGGGAAAGAAAAAAAAAAAAAAAGCUUGGUAAAGGAGGAUUAUGGGUAGAGUAACCUUCUAAUUUACUAUUCAGUCAGUCUUGGAUAUUUUUUAAAGUGAUGGGAGAUCCUGAUAAUAAUUAUUUCAGGAAAAAAAGGCAUAAAUGAGGAUUGGCCCAGCCCAGCAGAGAUGAAUGAGCACCUCGUCAUUAGUAACAGGGCACGUCUAAAAGAACCAAAGCGGUCACCAAAUCUGAUAGAUCCAGGGAAAGUUUGUCAAACUGUAGCACCUCCAGUGUCAGGAAAAUAGUUUCCCCUUUUCCCCUGUGUCCAGUUACCAUAGAUACUUUCUCUUGCAAAUGGAAGAAAACAUCACCUGAGCAGGCUUAACUAACAGGAAAUAGAGGUGUGACAAGGAGAUCAGGUAAAGCUUGAUCCAGGGUCUAAAUGAUCAGGACCUGAUUUCCAUCUUUUUGUCCUUAGUUUCCUUUCCUCAGCAUUGGCACUGUUUUCUCACAGGCUCACUUUUGGGGUUGUCAUGACAAGUGUCAGCAGCUCUCAGCCAUUAUCUUUCCAGGUUCAACCCAGUGGGAAAAGCCCAGAGUGGCUCUUUUCCUGGGAUUUAGUCUAUCCCAGGCAGAAUCACAUGCUCAUACUGAACCAGUCUGUGUGGCUCUAGAGAUUUAGCAAUGUGGCAAGACCACCCAGAGCUUAUGAAUUAAGAGUUCAGAAGGCUGUGAUCCCUAUAAUCAAAUCAGAGUACAGUUAUCAGAAGAAGUGGAGACGAUUUCAUGGUGGCGUGAACGCAGCACAUACUCCUUGUGCACCUUCAGACCUGUGUGAUGCCUGUUAACGUCUUAAUCCGAGGGAGCCACUUAUCUGCACUUGUGCAUUAAUUACACAGGGUCUAUGUGGGCUGAUAUCUACCUAGCCCAACACCCGCCUGAUCCUUUUUUUUCCCUCAGAACUUUAUGGAGACAACAAAGUCAUCAAUUGGGAAUUAUCCCCAUCCCCUUACCACCAUCCCCAGGAAACACAUUUCGGUCCCUUUGCUGCAGAAACCCUGUACUUGAAUUUAACCCCUCAUCACGCUUGUAACCUGCUUUAUUUCAUGUUCUUUUUUCCCAUGUGGCUGUAAACCAUAGAUGGGCAGGGACAGUAUCUGUUGGGGUUUUUUUGUUUGUUUGUUUUUUUGGUUUGUCUUUUGUCUUUUUAGGGCCACACCCACAGUAUAUGGAGAUUCCCAGGCUAGGCGUCGAAUCAGAGCUACAGCUGCCGGCCUACACCACAGCCACCACAGCAAGGCCAGAUCCAGGCCACGUCUGUGACCUACACCACAGCUCACGGCAACGCCGGAUCCUUAACCCACUGAGCGAGGCCAGGGCUCAAACCCACAAGCUCACGGUUCCUAGUCGGAUUUGUUUCCGCUGCACCACGACGGGAACUCCGGUAUCUCUUGUAUCUCACCCCCCCCACAAAUCUGCCAACAUACCUCAGGUAAGAAAUAUUAAUGAAUGUAUACUACUUUUUGAAUUGAGAAAACUCAUAUUAUACAACCAAAAUACAGCAAGGAACAAGAUCAAGAAAUACUGCUAUCCUAAGUGGGCUUUUAUAUACUACUCCUGCUGUGCUUUUCUUAGGGGCGUGUUCGCAGAGCCUGCCCCUGGAGCCCCUCCCUUUUCUGAGCUGGCUUGUUCUCCUGGAGAUGCUCACGGUCAUCCUUCUGUGGCGGGAACAAGCCUUGGUCAUCCUCCCUUGCAGGGCUGCCAUCUUUGUCUCUGCUCUGGAUGUGGUGAGAGGUUUCUGCAAGCUCUGGCUGGAUUUCUGAAGACCUCUGCUUUGCUUCUGUGAUAGGCUGCCAUAUGCUUUGUGUCUUUCUCUCUGGAUUAAUAUCAUUAGUUUUAUUACCAAUGAGGACAACAGCCAGUGUUGACGGCAGUCUUUGGGAUUAGCUCCUUCCAGAGAAGCAUCCUUGUAUCAUCUUAGGCUAUUGUUGGGCCCUGGAUUUUCCUCUUAAUAUUGCCAUUUUACAGGUGAGGAAAUGGAUGCUCAGAAGAGUCACGUUGUUUGUUGAAGCUCCAUGUCCCAGAACCUAACUUGGCCUCUCUCUUCACCUUGCCAGAUGUUAACAUUACUAGCGCUUCCAAAUCCGAAUGGU
rnacentral:lncRNA from 1 species